rnacentral:rRNA from 1 species
GAGACCUCUUCGGAGUGACCUUUCCCGAGUUAGUGGCGGAUGGGUGAGUAACGCGUAAGUGACCUGCCCAGCAGUGGGGAAUAACAGUGAGAAAUCAUUGCUAAUACCGCAUAGCUUACAAGUGCUCCAUGGUACCUGUAAGAAAGACGGCCUUCGUGCUGUCCCUGUUGGAUGGACUCGCGUCUGAUUAGCCAGUUGGUGGGGUAACGGCCUACCAAAGCAAUGAUCAGUAGCCGGCCUGAGAGGGUGAACGGCCACAUUGGGACUGAGACACGGCCCAAACUCCUACGGGAGGCAGCAGUGGGGAAUCUUCCGCAAUGGGCGCAAGCCUGACGGAGCAAUGCCGCGUGAGUGAAGAAGGCCUUCGGGUUGUAAAACUCUGUCCUCAUCCAAGAGAGGGGAAGGUAGUAACUGACCUUUCCAGGACGGUAGAUGAGGAGGAAGCCCCGGCUAACUAUGUGCCAGCAGCCGCGGUAAAACAUAGGGGGCAAGCGUUGUCCGGAAUCACUGGGCGUAAAGGGCGCGCAGGCGGUCUGUUAAGUCAGAUGUGAAAGGUUAGGGCUCAACCCUGAACGUGCAUCUGAUACUGGCAGACUUGAGUAUGGAAGAGGUAAGUGGAAUUCCUAGUGUAGCGGUGAAAUGCGUAGAUAUUAGGAGGAACACCAGUGGCGAAGGCGACUUACUGGGCCAUAACUGACGCUGAGGCGCGAAAGCGUGGGGAGCAAACAGGAUUAGAUACCCUGGUAGUCCACGCCGUAAACGAUGGGUACUAGGUGUCGGAGGUUUCAAGACCGUCGGUGCCGCCAGUUAACACAAUAAGUACC